rnacentral:rRNA from 1 species
GAUGAACGCUAGCGGCAGGCUUAAUACAUGCAAGUCGAGGGACAACACAGGUAGCAAUACUGGGUGGUAACCGGCAAACGGGUGCGGAACACGUACACAACCUUCCUUUAAGUGGGGGAUAGCCCAGAGAAAUUUGGAUUAAUACACCGUAAUAUAGUUGAAUGGCAUCAUUUGAUUAUUAUAGCUACGGCGCUAAAUGAUGGGUGUGCGGCUGAUUAGAUAGUUGGCGGGGUAACGGCCCACCAAGUCUACGAUCAGUAGCGGAUGUGAGAGCAUGAUCAGCCACACGGGCACUGAGACACGGGCCCGACUCCUACGGGAGGCAGCAGCAAGGAAUAUUGGUCAAUGGACGCAAGUCUGAACCAGCCAUGCCGCGUGAAGGAUUAAGGUCCUCUGGAUUGUAAACUUCUUUUAUUUGGGACGAAAAGGGCCUUUCUAGGUCAACUGACGGUACCAGAUGAAUAAGCACCGGCUAACUCCGUGCCAGCAGCCGCCGCCGUAA